AGGACGAACGCUGGCGGCGUGCUUAACACAUGCAAGUCGAACGAGAUCCAACUGGUGGCAACACCAGUGAAGAUCUAGUGGCGAACGGGUGAGUAACACGUGAGCAACCUGCCCCGAAGACUGGGAUAACAGCGGGAAACCGCUGCUAAUACCGGAUGUCCCCAUCGGACCACAUGGCCUGAUGAGGAAAUGGAUUCCGCUUCGGGAGGGGCUCGCGGCCUAUCAGCUUGUUGGUGGGGUAACGGCCCACCAAGGCGACGACGGGUAGCUGGUCUGAGAGGACGAUCAGCCACACUGGGACUGAGACACGGCCCAGACUCCUACGGGAGGCAGCAGUGGGGAAUCUUGCGCAAUGGGCGAAAGCCUGACGCAGCAACGCCGCGUGAGGGAUGAAGGCCUUCGGGUUGUAAACCUCUUUCAAGCAGGGACGAUAAUGACGGUACCUGCAGAAGAAGCUCCGGCCAACUACGUGCCAGCAGCCGCGGUAAUCGU
rnacentral:rRNA from 1 species